GUGGGCGUGGCGAAACUGGUAGACGCAGCAGACUUAAAAUCUGCUGUCCUGACGGACUUGCGGGUUCGAGUCCCGCCGCCCACACCA
rnacentral:tRNA from 1 species